rnacentral:rRNA from 1 species
GACGAACGCUGGCGGCGCGCCUAAUACAUGCAAGUCGAACGAGUACGGACUUCGGUCCAUAUGUACGAGUGGCGAACGGGUGAGUAACACGUGAGAAACCUGCCUCGGAGACCGGGACAACCAUUGGAAACGAUGGCUAAUACCGGAUGCCCUUUAGCGAUCACAUGGUCGCUUAAGGAAAUGAUCCGUCGCUCCGGGAGGGUCUCGCGGCCUAUCAGCUUGUUGGUGAGGUAACGGCUCACCAAGGCAUCGACGGGUAGCUGGUCUGAGAGGACGAUCAGCCACACUGGGACUGAGACACGGCCCAGACUCCUACGGGAGGCAGCAGUAGGGAAUCUUGCACAAUGGGCGAAAGCCUGAUGCAGCGACGCCGCGUGGGGGAUGAAGGCCUUAGGGUUGUAAACUCCUUUCAGUAGGGACGAAAAUGACGGUACCUACAGAAGAAGCUCCGGCCAACUACG